GCUCAGACGUAUCAAGAUGUUCUCCCAGGCUCAGCUUCUCUGGUUACUGGCGCUGUGGAUUCCGAGUGCCUAUGGGCAGGUCACAAUGACUCAGUCUCCAGAAUCCCUCUCAGUGUCUCCAGGAGAAAAAGCCACCAUCAGAUGUACAGCCAGUUCUAGCCUUAGGAGCUACUAUGUAUCCUGGUACCAACAGAAACCUGGACAAGCUCCUAAGCGGCUUAUCUAUGAUGACACUGACCGUGCCUCCGGGGUCCCAGCCCGGUUCAGUGGCAGUCGGUCUGGCACCGUUUACACUCUCGCAAUCACCAGCGUUGAAGCCGAUGAUGCAGCAGAUUACUACUGUCUGCAGACUGAUAGGUCACCUCUCACAGUGAUACAGACCAAUACAAAAACCUCCCUGCUCUGCCGCAGUGUGAGUGCUGCUUCCUGUGAAGAUCAUGACAGUGUUAGUGCAGCUGCUACACCCUGA